rnacentral:rRNA from 1 species
UACGUAGGGUGCGAGCGUUAAUCGGAAUUACUGGGCGUAAAGCGUGCGCAGGCGGUUUGUUAAGACAGGUGUGAAAUCCCCGGGCUCAACCUGGGAAUGGCGCUUGUUACUGGCAGGCUAGAGUGUGUCAGAGGGAGGUAGAAUUCCACGUGUAGCAGUGAAAUGCGUAGAGAUGUGGAGGAAUACCGAUGGCGAAGGCAGCCUCCUGGGAUAACACUGACGCUCAUGCACGAAAGCGUGGGGAGCAAACAGG